GCGCCCUUAGCUCAGAUGGACAGAGCACCGCCCUCCGAAGGCGGGAGUCGUCGGUUCGAAUCCGAUGGGGCGCG
rnacentral:tRNA from 1 species